rnacentral:lncRNA from 1 species
CUUCAAUUCCCUUUUAUAAGGCCUAAUCACCUCCUAAAGGCCUCCCCUCUUAAUGGUAUCACCUUGGGGGUUUAAGUUCCAACACAACAAUUUUGGAGGGACAUAUACAUUCAAACCAUAGCAUUGGUUUUGUUAGUUUAUCUUUAAUGUUUCUCUUUGCAGACAUAAGGAAGUAUGUGUGUACAUAUACAUAUAUUCUUAACUCCUUUUUUCUCUUAUACAAAAGAUAGAAUACCAUAUUCUACCAAAUAAAAUACCAUAUUUUGUACCUUGUUAUAUUACUUAACAGUAUAUCCUGGAAAUCACUCCAUGGGAGUUCAUACACAUAUUCCUCAUUCUUUAUUAUGUCUGCAUAAUACUCCACUGUGUAGCUAUUAAUAUGGAGAGAUUAGAUACAGAAAAGGGAAAAAGGGCAUUCCAGGCAAGAUGAAUGACAAAUAACUGGCAGGAAAAUAAGAAUAAACAAGGCUUUAUUACCAUAUGAAAGAGAAAGAAAGUAAACCAAUCAGGCUAGAGUGAAGGAUUAAUGCAAAAGGGUGGGAAAAGUCAAGGUUACCACCAUAUCAUACAAUUCCAGGGAAGACCAUGCACAUCAUCAUCUAAGGAGCUGUAUAAAGCACAGCUUAGAUAAUUGUACACACUCCCUUGGGUAAAGCUAAAGACAAAAAGUUGGGGCUAGUUUACAGAGGCACUUAGAUUAUAAGGUAAAAUAGGAUUCUGUCUUGUAGCCAAAGCUUCUGCAGGAAGGUGUCAUGUUCAAAAUGUUGCUUUAAGAUAAAUAAGACCACAGACAGACUGGAGGGGCUAUAAGAGAAGGUUACUAAAAUUGUCUAGGAGUGAGGUAGUAAGUAUCUUAGUGGGCUGACAGCGAAGAAAAGGGUAUUACCUAAGACACAGUCUUGCUUACCUUCAAAGAGCUUACAAUCUAGUUGUUGAGAUAAUGUAUUAUUUAAGAGUUACAUAAUACAGAAAUGAUAUUUUAGAAUCAGAAGAGACCUCAGUGAUCAUAUUGUCCAAUGGUUCUCAAAUCCAGCUGAUAAUCAGAAUCACUUAGAGGAACUUGUUAAAACAUCUUCUUGGGCCCCAUUCCCCAGAGAUUCUUAUUCAAUAAGUCUUUAGUUGGGUCUGGAGAAUCUGAACUUGUAACACGCUCCUCAAGUGAUCUCCCACUGACUGGCGAUGUUUGGGAACUACUGUUUCAGUAUAGUCUUUUCAUUUCAUAGAUGAGAAGCUGAAUCACAACAAUAUUCUUUUCCAAGAAUGUUACAGGAGAUUACAAUCUAGGGGUUGGGAGGCCUUUUUAAUCAAGACCCAAAACCCAAAAGCGAAAUGAGAAAGACAAAUCUGACCACAAAACAUUUAAAAACAUUUGUAUGGCAAAGGAUCCUAUAAACAAAGACAACAGACUUGAAAAACUAUAUAUGUAACAGACUACGAAGGGUUGUUAUCAUCAUACUCCACAAGGGUUAUGAAAAUACAUGAAACUAACACAACAGAAAAAUGGUGAAGGAUGGAAAAGGGGCAGAUACCCAAAAGAGAGUUGGUGAAGCUAUAUUAAUAGCCUACAAAAUAGAAUUUAAGGCAAAAAACUACACAAGCUUGGCAAGGCAGAAAAUUCAAAGGAUAUCUGUGGACAGGACUAUUUCUGCUCCUCAUUUCUACUUGGAAGAAAAUCAUAAUGAGAAGCAGGAGAGAAGAAGGCAUUACAAUUCCACAGGAAAGCUCGUACUCCUCUGAUUCCACUUCCCUUUUCCUUCCUCCUUCUCUACAAAUCACAGGCCAGGCUAACAAGCUGACAGAUAAAAGUACAAUGACAGGGUGACAAGAUUAGAAUUGCUUGGAUAAAUUUUCCUGUCUCCUCUAUUUGACACUCCUAACUUACUACCCUUAGUACGUUUUUGUCAAUAUAACUUAGAUGAAAGACAGCUUUUAACUUACAUAAAAGACUAUAUGAGUUACAGUACUUUUUUGUCAAUAUAACUUAACGUUGAAAGACAGCUUUUGUGCACAUAAAAGGCUAUGUGAGUUACUUGGAUUUACAUUAAGACCUUAAAUUCAGUAUAUUAACAGUCUAAAGACCCUUAGUUUUUUUAUAACUGUAUCAGCCUAAUUACCUAAUUUAAAAAUAUUAAUGUACUACAUAUAAAAAGAUUUAAAGAACCAUAUAAUAAAAACUCUUGUACCCACCUCCAGUUUAAAUAUAAAACAUGAAUCCCCUAAAUUUGGCAUUCCCAUCAAACAUCUUCACUACAUUUAGUUUAAUAGAUGCUCUUUUCCUGUGUUAGCACUUCAAAUGCCUACCAAGCAAAUCCUUAAGUACUUUUUUAAAAAAGUUCUGGUAGAUGUUUAAAAAAUUAAACUUAUAAGUAUAGUAUACAUAAAAAGGUCCUAAAUAUUACAACACUUUUCAAACUUAGCAAAGUUUUCUAGCAUUCUUCAACUAAUAAUCAAAUCUAAACCAAAUUACUCAAGAACAUAUCUUAAAUGAGAAUCACAAAUUAAUCUGCUGGAUUCUUUCAUAUGUCAAAUUACUGCAAACAUUACAUCCUAAGUCCAGAUGGACUUAAACUUAAUUGAUUUAACACAUAUCAUGCACUAUAUAUUAUUUAAGUACUUUAUAAAUAUUAUUUAAUACUCAAAAAACUUUAUGAGGUAGAUGCCAUUGUUACCCUCAUUUUACACAUAAGAAAACUGAAGGAAGAAGGAGGUUAAGGAAAGUUCCCACAGUCACACAGCUAACAAGCAGUGGAGCCAGACUUCUGGCUUCAUAGUCCAUGCUGUUUACCACCAUGCAGUGCCGCUGCUCCUUAUAGGUAUAAAUCACUUCAAAAUUUCUAUGUAUGUUUUACAGGACUGGAAAUGUGAUUUCAAGCUGAAGACCGGGGGCUAGGACAUAUAAUCUUCCUGUGCUGAUAAUGGGCACAUCUAGCACCUUUCCUCUUUAAAUAAUUGCUACAACAGAGCCUCUAAAUCAAAUACCUCCAGAUGGGGGUUGAUUUUACAAUCUGAGUUCAAAUUAAGUUCUAAUUGUGAGGCUGGGUGCGGUGGCUCACGCCUGUAAUCCCAACACUUUGGGAGGCUGAGGUGGGCGGAUCACUUGAGGUCAGGAGUUCGAGACCAGCCUGGCCAACAUGGUG